rnacentral:tRNA from 4 species
CGGGCUGUGGCGCAGUUUGGUAGCGCACAUGACUGGGGGUCAUGGGGUCGCAGGUUCAAAUCCUGUCAGCCCGACAA